GAUGUUUUCACUCCAGAAUGCAAAUUUAAAGAAUCUGUGUUUGAAAACUACUAUGUGAUCUAUUCUUCCACACUGUACCGCCAGCAAGAAUCAGGCCGAGCGUGGUUUCUAGGACUCAAUAAAGAAGGUCAAAUUAUGAAGGGGAACAGAGUGAAGAAAACCAAGCCCUCAUCACAUUUUGUACCAAAACCUAUUGAAGUGUGUAUGUACAGAGAACCAUCACUACAUGAAAUUGGAGAAAAACAAGGGCGUUCGAGGAAAAGUUCUGGAACACCAACCAUGAAUGGAGGCAAAGUCGUGAAUCAAGAUUCAACAUAGCUGAGAACUCUUCCCUUCUUCCCUCUCUCACCCCUUCCCUUUCUCUUCCCUCCCCUUUACCCAUCUCCUCCCAAUAAAUCUACCCAAGGAGAGGAAAAUAAAAUGGCAACACAGGACCUAGUGACUAAGAUUCUACACUCAAAAUCUUCCUUUGUGUAGGACAAGAAAAUUGAACCAAAGCUUGCCUGCUGCAACAUGGUAGAAAAUUCACAUGCACAAAGAUUAGCACACAUAAAAGCAAAAGAAAAAAAUAAAUCAGGACUCCACAAACAUUAAACUGUGUUGUUAUUAAUAGAGGGCUAAUUUUAAUGAAGACAGUAAUAUCAAGAUGAAAUAAAGUUAUUACCUUGAUGGAAAAAAUUUUAGAGAAUUAAACUUACCAAUUGAUGUUUUUCUCUAAAUAGCUUAAACUCUGCAUAAUGCUGUGAUGUGUGGUUUGUUUGGUUAUAUAUUUUCUUUGGGCAUCUGGAAUUGACACAAAAUUGCAUCCUGUUUUCAGGAUUUUUUAUGUACCAUGAUAUUGAACACAUAUGACUUAUAGACACUUCUAACGCCUGUAAGCCAGGUAUCAUUAAACAUCAAGAAAAUUUUUUAAAAAUUAUUUUUGAAGCUGUUAUUUAAGAUUGUUUUAUUCAAAAGGAUAGUCUUGUAUUAAAUAUAAUGGCAUUAGCUGAUUUAAUUUCUUCAUAAAAAGAAUUUCAAAUUCUCCUAGGAUAAUAUCAUAUUUUAAUCAAAGAUUUUAAUCCAGGAUCCAAUUUUUUUUUAGUCAUUUUGGAAAAAAAGUUCUUUUUCUAACACUAAAGUAACUUUUGGGAAUUCUUUGCCAUUGCUACAUCCGGGCAGUGAGGUAUAAGUUACGUGGUCUUACCACUUGGUCUGAUUUUUUGCUUCGUGUACAUUUUUGAGAGGUUCAUGUUCUAGCUUUCUCAGAGAAUUUUGUACCUUGCAGCAGGAAAGAAGGAAGAGGGCUUUUACAUAAGGAAAUAAGUUCUAGGAAAUUGAUCAAAGCAAAUUGAACUUGCCUUUGUACCUUACCAGAGUUUUAGGUAUACAGCAUUUUCCAAAUUCUGCCAAGAAAUUGGGAGGCGCAUGGCUGUGAAAUUCCAAACUUACUAUCAUAUGAAGCCGGAAGUUUGUUUGUUGCUGGAUGUCUUUAUAAGUCUAGUUGACAAUCAGUCUGUUUCCUACAACACAGAAGGAUACUAGUAAUACACUAAAUUUUCAAGGGGCAUAGAAAAACCAUAUGGAAUUAAGGGCUAUGGCUCCAACAUACAAGGUUGCGUGAGUGGCUUAAAGUAGUGAAAAAGAACUCAGUAUAAGAGCAUAGUUAAGAAUACUAAACUUUUAGAAAAAUAUUAGGGAAGAAAUGAAUGCUAUACAAUUGCAUUGGAGUAAAUAGAUUUACUUAGUCCUACAAAUCAGGAAUGGCAUAGACACAUCCAAAUUAAAACAAAACAAAACAAUGUUUAAAAUGUAUGCAGAUUUAUGGAUAUUAUCAAUGAGAAGACUUAGCAUGUAACUUCUCCUAUAUCUCUACUGUCCAGCAUGUAUUGUUCCAAAUAUGACUCCCUAAUAUAUACACUUUGCAGAAGCUCUAGGCCCUCACCUCAAACCUUGCCACUGGUUGCUGUAUUCUUUCAAGGUCAGCGUAGUUUCCCUCACUCUACACAGUCAUUAUUCUUCAGUAGUGGUUUGUGUCCUUCACCAAGUAUCCUGUUUAUCUUACCAGGAGGUUAGCAGAAAGUGAAAUGAAGGAAUUUGCCUAAUCAGUUGAGAAGAAUAAACGUUAUGCAUCUAAACAAAGAUUUUGAACACACAUUUGCAAGAGAUAUUUGUUUAAUCAAAAUAUUUGAAAUGGAACAAAUAAAGACAUUUAAUUAUUUUUUUUUAAAUGUUGCUCUUCUAAGAAAUCGAUACCCUUAGGGAAAAAACCCACAAAUCUGGUCUUAUUUCUUCUUGUCACUCUUGAUUCAACUUGAUUAUAAAUAUACCUGACACUUCCAGGACCAAGCAAAUCCCAAGCACAAAGCCUUAUUUUCUUUGAAAAAAUAAAAAAAAGGGCUUUGACAAAAAGAGGCUCUUUUAGCAAGAAAUAACUUGAGUUUUGUGGUGAAACACACACACACUCCUCAAUGAAUGGUUUCACAAGUAAUACUGUUAAUAGAAUUCACAAUCAUCAUUUACAUUGAUGAUCUCAUGACAGAAUACAUUUAACCCAGUUAAUUAUGAAAAAAUAUGAUAGAGAGAUGAAUCUCCAACAAAAUUCCUCCCUCUGUUUUCAAUGGCUGUUCAUUGUUUAUCAUCUUGACUCACAUUUAUCUCCUCCCUAAUAGUGAAGAAGCACAGUUCUAACCACCCAAUUUGUAUAUUGUUUUUCUCCGUAUCAUGUUAAGCAAAUGUUCACUGAAGUAAAAUGUUUUAGAAAUUAGUUCUAUUUUCAACUCAUUUCAGAGAAUGAAUUAGAAUCCUCUUAUUUCUUUUACAAAUAAACCUGACAAAAAAUGUGGAUUAGAGCACAGGGUGAAUGUUUGCUUAACUGCUGCUUAUUCUUAAAUACAUAAAACCUUUAAUAGAAAAAGUCAGUAUUCACUGUCUUGAUUUUGAAAGAUAUUACUAAAUAUAGAUAUAUAAUGAUCCAAUUUCCUCCAAAAAUAUGAGCCAGUUUAACUAUUUUGUUUUCCAGAUUUAUUCUAAGUAUAAUAUUGCUUUACUUUGAUUUUCAUCAUUCUGAAUUCUGGGUCUUCAAUUCAUCUACCACUUAUUCUCCUUUAAGUGAAAUGCACUUUUUUUUUUCUUUAAAAAUGCAUUGGAUAUUCCCAAGAAAAAUAAGGAUUUUAGUAAAGCUUUGUAAGUAGCUAUGUAGAUAUUCUAAGAGUCCUUAUUGUAAUAUGUUUCAAAAUCAAUGGGCUUACCAUUAAGAACAAAUUUUUGAGAGUCUCACAAAAUAUCUAUCUGAUCAAUGUACCUUACUUAAUUUUUAAGCUGCAGGUUUGAGGUAUAGACACAAAUGGUGCUGAAGUUCCAUUUGCUAAUUCAGAGACUUGUGCUUCAGGAAUCUGAAGGACAGCAAGCCAUCCUAUUCUUGAUCAUAGUAAUAAUUUUGGCUCUGAAUUUUACAUAUGAAUUAUAUAGCACGUUUUUAGCCACUAUGGAUUGGUGGUACAAUAAAGAGAUAUCAAUGUAAUGCAACGUGAUGCUUCAUGGGACUCGUGGUAAUUCAGAAAGCUUAUUUAGAACUCUUUCAUUUAAGAAAAUGACAACACUGUAGAUAAGUAUUAUAUCUAGAUUGGUGGUCCUGUGGUGCCACUAGUGAGAGACUAAAUUAUUAAGUAAAAGAUGAAGAAUGGCUUAAUUGUUGUGUAUUGAAAAGUUUGAAAGUCCUAAUUUGGGACCACUGACUUCUUGGUGAAGAAGCGUGACUACAUCAACCAUAAUUUUUUAAAACUUAGGCCCAGAAAUAACAAAUCUACUAUUCCACCCUCACAGCUUAGUCUACAAGGCCUUGCUCUUAAGAAGGUUUUCCAUGAUGUUGCUUAAUUUCAUCUGCACAAGGUGAGACACAGUCAAACAUAAAAACACCCUGUUCAUUUUAAUACCAUAAAAGGCUGAGGUUAUUUCUCUGUCAUAAAAUUGUAAAUAGCAUUUUUUAAGUCAGACUUACAUUUAAAACAGUGGAUUGUUCUACGAAUAUAUAUGUGUAUAUAUACAUAUGCUUCUGAAAUAAGAGUAUAAUAUAUAGAGUUUUUAUUUGAUUUGUGUUCUUUAGUCAUAGUAAUCAAAAAUAGAGAUUUGAAUGCAAAACUUUAUAUAUAAAUGUAUAUUUCUAAUGAUGGUACAAAUUGACACUUUAUAAUAAAAAAAGAAAUAGGUGGGAACAAUCAAAGCACACGCUCCUUCAGAACUUCAGUAAUUUUUAAUCCCCUCUUUGAGCAGAGGUAAUUAUUUUUUAUUUCUAAAAAGUUAUCUUAGAAAGCUAUACUUUCUGAUACAGAUUCUAUGAUUUCAUAGCAGAUUGAAAAAUUAUGGUUGAGGGGAAGGAAAAGGAUACUAACUGCUGAUCUUUAUUUUUCAAGAUUUUUCCUGGAUCUCAAGUUAGGAAUUCAACUUUUAAAUCUAAAUUAAGUGAAAAUUGCUAAUGUUCAGAGAUGAGAGCUUCAGUAACAAACACAAGUAAAAAUAAUGAUAUUUAAUAUUAUGAUAAUAGCAUUAAAAUAAUCUCAUAAUAAAAAACUGCAUCAUUAGAUGUUUUAUUAGUUGAAAAGAAUGAGCUGCUAUUUCUUUGUCUUUGCUCCAAACAAAAUGAAAAGACAGUGACAUUUAUUUUACUCAAACGUGUUCAAAAGGUCCAAAAUAUACUUCCAUUAAUAGAAUUGGUAUAAGCUACAUUACAAGGUUAAAUGUUAAGAUUAAUCUCUUAAGAUUAUUGACAAUAAAAUGUCUAAUAAACAUGCUAAAUGAGAAACUGAAGAAAUUAAUGUUGUUUUUGCAUUAAAGCACAGAUUAUUUAAAUCAUUGUUUUUUGAGAUCAGAUUUGUAAAAUGUUUAUACAUCACAACCUUCCUGAAGUGAAAAGCAACUAAAAUCUUGAGAUGCUCAUGCAUGUAGACAAAAUACUGGCACUUUUUUUUUUUUAACAUUAAACUUUUUUGAGAAGUC